GUAUUCCGCUCCAUAGCGUAUAUUAAAGUUGUUGCAGUUAAAAAGCUCGUAGUUGAAUUUCGGGAUCAAUACGCCUGUCGUGCCUUCGGUACGUACGGGUGUAAUUGGUUUCUACCUUCUGAGGAUCCUUGAUGUCAUUAAUUUGGUGUCUUGGGGAAUCAGGACUGUUACCUUGAAAAAAUUAGAGUGUUUAAAGCAGGCAUACGCUUGAAUACAUUAGCAUGGAAUAAUGAAAUAGGACGUUCGAUUCUAUUUUGUUGGUUUCUAGGAUCGACGUAAUGAUUAAUAGGGAUAGUUGGGGGCAUUAGUAUUCAAUUGUCAGAGGUGAAAUUCUUGGAUUUAUUGAAGACUAACUACUGCGAAAGCAUUUGCCAAGGAUGUUUUCAUUAAUCAAGAACGAAAGUUAGGGGAUCGAAGACGAUCAGAUACCGUCGUAGUCUUAACCAUAAACUAUGCCGACUAGGGAUCGGAUGAUGUUAAUUUUUUAAUGACUCAUUCGGCGCCUUACGGGAAAACA
rnacentral:rRNA from 1 species